rnacentral:rRNA from 1 species
GAUGAACGCUGGCGGCGUGCCUAAUACAUGCAAGUCGAGCGAACAGACGAGGAGCUUGCUCCUCUGACGUUAGCGGCGGACGGGUGAGUAACACGUGGAUAACCUACCUAUAAGACUGGGAUACCUUCGGGAAACCGGAGCUAAUACCGGAUAAUAUAUUGAACCGCAUGGUUCCAUAGUGAAAGACGGUUUUGCUGUCACUUAUAGAUUGAUCCGCGCCGCAUUAGCUAGUUGGUAAUGUAACGGCUUACCAAGGCAACGAUGCGUAGCCGACCUGAGAGGGUGAUCGGACACACGGGAAGUGAGACACGGUACAGACUCCUACGGGAGGCAGCAGUCGGGAAUCUUCCGCAAUGGGCGAAAGCCUGACGGAGCAACGCCGCGUGAGUGAUGAAGGUCUUCGGAUCGUAAAACUCUGUUAUUAGGGAAGAACAAAUGUGUAAGUAACUAUGCACGUCUUGACGGUACCGAAUCAGAAAGCCACGGCUAACUACGUG